rnacentral:lncRNA from 1 species
UAAAGGUGUGUGCCACCAUUGUCCCGCAAUAAAAUGUUAAUUUCAUAUAAGACACAGAAAAUAUGCCUGCUACGUUUUUUUCCCAUAAGACACUGCAGUUUUCAUAUGUAAAGCCUCCCCCAACCACCGUGAUACAACACAGUUAAAAUACCAUUGUACACUGGGGCUUAUGAAAAUAGAUUUAGUUGUAACGAAUGUAUUUGUCUGGAUUUCACAAACCAUUUUAUCGUAAAUUAGAGACUAUAUAUGGCUAUGUAUAAAUUUGGGGCUAGAAUUGAAGGUUGGUAAGAGGGAUGCCUUGUGGCUAGCUUAUACAAAGAGAUUAUCUCCCCGUCAUCUCCUUUCAUAGGCCUGUCCUCCAUAGAAGUUUUCUCUGCAGAGGAAUAUGUGGGACAUGGAAGAACCUUUGAUGCAACAAGAGCAAAAAUGGUUUCUGUUAAGCCAUAGAGAUAGUAAUCCACAGGGCCAGGAGUCAGGGGUUCGUUUACCUGUAUGUGAUUGGUUCAUCUAAGGAAGCUUAGUGAGGAAGGAGGGUAGCGAAGACGUUUUAUUUCCAUUCUGCAGUAUCUGGAAAUAUGCAGAUUGCAAGGUGGGAGAUAGAAUCAGAUUAGUAGGUGUACCCCAGAAAACCCCAUUUCACAGUUAUAAUUCACAGAUGUCCUGAAAGCCCAAGUGUUCCUCUGAUGACCCCCCCCACGCCCUCCCUCACACACACAGUGUGGAAAGUUGGAGGCAUUUGUGGCAUGAACAGUGCACAGCCUGCUUCCUCUGUUGCCAGAAGGAGAAAAGCUCAACCAAAGGCAACCCAGGGUCCCCGCAGCUUUGCCCUCAUUUCUGUUUGAGCAGAAAGAAUGGCUUGUCAGGGAGAGGGACGUGGGCCAUAUGGCAAACUUACAUUUUAGUGGGUGCUUGUCAUAGACUGGCAUCCUUCUGAAAACAUCUCAUACGUAUUUACAAACCUCUCAGAAUACUAAAUUCAAGUCCCCUGAUGAAAACACGACUUUCAGUAAAUGAAAUAAGAAAAUAUUCUCUAUUAAUGAAAAUUUUUAAAAAAGGUUUAAACUAUAAGCUUUAAAUUUUUUCCAAGUACUUAGGCACAUUUAUUACAGUAUUAAAGUAGCUACUGAGCCUAUGCAUAAUUUUAAUGAUUAUUCAUUAUUAUUGUGUGCACUUGCCAUGGUACAUGGGUGCAUGGCAGAGGACAACUUGGCAGAGUGGUUUCUCUCCUCUCAGCUUUAUAGGAGUUACACUGACAUGCUUGUCUCACAAGUGCUUUGCCCACUAAGCCAUCUUGUUGUCCCCAGAUGUGUGUGUGUGUGUGUAUGUGUGUGUGUGUGUAUGUAUGUAUAUAUUUGCAUGUAUGUGUGUAUAUGUGUAUAUAUGUGGACACAUAUAUAUGUAUAUACCUAUACAUAUAUUUAAUUAUUUUUUAUUUUGAGAUUAUAAUAUGAUUACACCAUUUCCCCUUCCUCUUUCUCCCUCUGAACCCUCACAUAUACCCCUCCUUACUCUUUCAAAUUCAUGGCUUCAUUUUCCAUUAAUUGUUAUCACAUGCACACCUGUGUACAUAUUUUUAAUGAGAAUGAAAUGCUCGUUUGAAACAUCCAACAAAGUACUCGGCAAUCCUAUCCUCAGCUUUCUUCUGAAAGCUCUCUCUAUGCAGCCAGUCAAUAAAUCACGAGAAAGUCUUAGCUGUUUUCUACAGAGAUAAAAAUUUUGUAGAUAGAGACCCCAUCAUAACAGCUGACGACUGCUCCCGGAUUGCUGUGCGCAGCCUGUGAAAGUCCCGGAUUGCUGUGCGCAGUCUGUGAAAGAGCUGCUCCCUCCAGGAAGGGCCAUCCUGGAGGGGAGGUGCUUGAUGCUUCUUAGAAUCUGUUCUUUCCCUCUGCCAAGUGUGACAAGCGAAUCCUGAAGUCACACUAGGGGCGUGUAGCUGCUGGCUGGGGGUGUGCUCCUGCUGUGGCUUGUGCGUCACAACCACCUCGAAUCUUGGAAGCUUGGGAAGAAUCCAGGGACAACCCAUAAUUAACUCUUGUCACUGGGACAUGUUCAGUGGACACUGAUGAAGUUCUGAGACAGCACAUUGUUAUUAGUAUAAGACAAUAUUUACAGUCACUUCUAGAGGUGUGCUUAGUGAUUAGAAAGUCCUUUUUCUUCUUGUUUGACUCAACACGCGCUUUUUAUUUGUGCUGUGUGUUAUUAAGCAAGAACUCAUGAAAGACAGAGCCACUGAUUAUUCACCACAGGCCAUUCCAUGUUCCUUGUCAUUUGGCACGGCUGGGGAGACACCGGUGGGGACAGAUAGUGAAGUUUCAGCACUGUGCCGUAGCUGGCUAUGCAGAGCUGCCUUGGCCUUCUGAUCAUCACACGUAUUAGUCUGUGCACACCCCCAUAGCUUGAAGAACAGCUGUUGCAUCUGCUGUGCUGAAGACAACAAGUGGCUGGACCUGUUCGUCUGCCAUAGAAAGCCUAUGGCGGCUUCUGAAAAACUGCCGUGGUGCAGAGACAAUGACACUGCUGGGCUUGGGAACUUUUCAAUCCUCCGAUAACUCUGUCAUCCAUUAACAAGAUGUACACUCCUCAGGGCCUCAGUUUCCUUAUCACCAGGGAUAAUUGGAGUUCCUCCUCUAGGUACAAGAUUCUGUUUCAUAGCCCCCUCUUGGCUUCUGCUUGUUGGUGGGGACCUGUACCCCAUGUGAUUACAAAUUGCAGACUGGCAUGCAGAUCAUGUGAUGAAUGGCUCUCAUAAAUCCGUGUGUGCCGGUCUCUUCUGUCCCUGUGAGGACAUAUUUUGUGUGAGUCAUUUUACAGUAAAAUUUGUCUUCUUGGCUUUGUUUCCAAGGCACUCUGGGUUGGAAACAAAGAAAGAAAACAAUGUCUGUUCACAAAAGAAUUGAUUUUAUAUGC